GCCUAACAGCGAGGACCGGGAGGAUGGAGGAGGAUCUGCUCGCCUUCCCUUUAACUCUUCCCUCGCCACCCCCCCAGGGACCCAGAAGAGGGAUGAAAGGAGAGCAGAUGGUUUGGGGGUGCUCCGAAAUACCAGUGCCAAGGGCUGUCUCAUCAUGGCAGGCUGAACAUGCUCGAGAGCAAGGAGGUCCCUCCAAGGAUUGGGGAGGUGCAAGAGGCUGCAGUGCUGGACAUUCCUGGGUGCAGACUGGCCACUCCUGGGGCUGUCACUCCUCGAGGACGUACUGCUGACCACAUCCUGGUGCCCACACCAUGCCAGCAGUGCUUUCUCCACAUAUCUGGACUACAAUUACUGACUUAGGAACUCUUGUUCUCCUGCCUUAUUCCUGCAUCUCCCAAAAAAAACAAACAACAACCCAGCAUAAAACAGCAACUGAGGACAUCCCCUUGGUGCAAAGGCACCUCCUGAUGUUGGGACACCACAAAGUCAAAGCUGAGGCUGACACAUUCUCCUGCCCAAGGACGGGAGCUGGGCUUGGAGCCCAGAGAAGAUGUUUCCCUGCCAUUAAUGGGAUGAAUUCAUGCACAAUUUGUGAAUGAAGGUGACCAAGAGGCUGAGGGAUGCACCGGCACAAGAGCUCCACAUCCCACCAAAGGUUAGUCCUGCAUCCCCCUCCUGUGCCUGCGCUUCCAAGGGAACAAAGGAAAAAUGGAAAGAGCUCAGGAAAAUGCCAAAUUUUUAAUGGCUUGAGAAAGCUGAAUCGUGGCCAGAGAUGCAGAGAGGUCGGAUGGGUUUGUGCAACAAGGGGGAAGGGGUGAGUGGCUCAUGGACUGACCCCAUUUGUGCUCUGAAGAACUUUUGGGGGCUUCAUGGCUUUGCCAGAGGAGCUGGGAAAAGGCACAGGGAAAGGCAAGGAUGGGAAGAUGGAGCUGCCUGAAUUCCCAAGUUCACCCGUUUUUUAGCAGUGAGGGUGUUCUACCAGCUGGACAACUUACAAUUGGAUCCUCUCCCAGUCUUUAAACUGAGCCCAUCUGUGUUUUUAAAUACUAAGUUUAACCCCAGAAAUGAUGAUACAGACAGAAAAAAAAGAAAAACAACCAACCUAUUAGCCACUUUCUGGAAAGGUCUGGAUCCCUUGCACUUCAUGACCCCUUGGAAACCACAAGAAACUUCUGCACCUCUCAGAAACAA